rnacentral:rRNA from 1 species
UACCACGGAAGCGUUAAAAAUACGAGCUCCGUCGAUAUGAAGCUUCAAGCCAUGGCUUUUACCAACCUCACCAACCUUGUCGGUGUACUCUACAGACAGACACUUUCCGCCAGGAGCAACUCACUUUCCGUGUGUGUUCUCCAAGCAGAUGAGCCUGGUGGUGGGAUAAUACAUGGCCCCGUCCGGAUGCCUGAUGGCAGCAACGAUCUUGUGGAUGUCCAUGGUGCCGUCGGGGUUGUUGGGCACGGUCCUGGGGUGGACGCCGCCGAGGGUGGAGAUGCCCCCGUUCUCAUAGAUGUGGAUGUGGGAGUUGUCCCCGAGGAUGACCUCGCUGCCCCUGGUGUCGCAGUGCGCGAGGACGGAGACGAGGUUGCCCAUGGUGCCCGAGGGGACGAACAGGGCGGCCUCCUUGCCCAUGAUCCUGGCCAUCUCCGCCUCGAAGCGCUGCGCGGUCGGGUCCGCGCCCAGGACGUCGUCGUCCACCUCCGCCGCGGCCAUGGCGGCGCGCAUGGCCUCGGAUGGCUU